AGGACGAACGCUGGCGGCGCGCCUAACACAUGCAAGUCGAACGAGCGAGAGAGAGCUUGCUUUCUCGAGCGAGUGGCGAACGGGUGAGUAACGCGUGAGGAACCUGCCUCAAAGAGGGGGGACAACAGUUGGAAACGACUGCUAAUACCGCAUAAGCCCACGGGUCGGCAUCGACCAGAGGGAAAAGGAGCAAUCCGCUUUGAGAUGGCCUCGCGUCCGAUUAGCUGGUUGGUGAGGUUAACGGCCCCACCAAGGCAACGAUCGGUAGCCGGACUGAGAGGUUGAACGGCCACAUUGGGACUGAGACACGGCCCAGACUCCUACGGGAGGCAGCAGUGGGGAAUAUUGCACAAUGGGGGAAACCCUGAUGCAGCGACGCCGCGUGGAGGAAGAAGGUCUUCGGAUUGUAAACUCCUGUUGUUGAGGAAGAUAAUGACGGUACUCAACAAGGAAGUGACGGCUAACUACGUG
rnacentral:rRNA from 1 species